AUGAAGCAGCUGCUGAGCCAGCUCUGGUUUUCGGGAAGUCAGAUGACCUUUUCCCUCCCGCGGCUCUCUGCCUCUCGCUGUCCCUAGGGAGGACACCAUGGACCCACUGAUGGUUCUUUUUUGCCUGCUGUUCCUGUACCCAGGUCCGGCAGACUCGGCUACCUCCUGCCCUCAGAAUGUGAAUAUCUCUGGUGGCACCUUCACCCUCAGCCAUGGCUGGGCCCCUGGGAGCCUUCUCAUCUACUCCUGUCCCCAGGGCCUGUACCCAUCCCCAGCAUCACGGCUGUGCAAGAGCAGCGGACAGUGGCAGACCCCAAGAGCCACCCGGUCUCUGACUAAGGCGGUCUGCAAACCUGUGCGCUGUCCAGCCCCUGUCUCCUUUGAGAAUGGCAUUUAUACCCCACGGCUGGGGUCCUACCCAGUGGGUGGCAAUGUGAGCUUCGAGUGUGAGGAUGGUUUCAUAUUGCGGGGCUCGCCUGUGCGUCAGUGUCGCCCCAACGGCAUGUGGGAUGGAGAAACAGCUGUGUGUGAUAAUGGGGCUGGCCACUGCCCCAACCCAGGCAUUUCGCUGGGCGCGGUGCGGACAGGCUCCCGCUUUGGUCACGGGGACAAGGUCCGCUAUCGCUGCUCCUCGAAUCUUGUGCUCACGGGGUCUGCGGAGCGGGAGUGCCAGGGCAACGGGGUCUGGAGUGGAACAGAGCCCAUCUGCCGCCAGCCCUACUCUUAUGACUUCCCUGAGGACGUCGCCCCUGCCCUGGGCACCUCCUUCUCCCACAUGCUUGGGGCCACCAAUCCCACCCAGAGGACAAAGGAAAGCCUGGGCCGUAAAAUCCAAAUCCAGCGCUCUGGGCACCUGAACCUCUACCUGCUCCUGGACUCUUCGCAGAGUGUGUCGGAAAAUGACUUUCUCAUCUUCAAGGAGAGCGCCUCCCUCAUGGUGGACAGGAUCUUCAGCUUUGAGAUCAAUGUGAGUGUUGCCAUUAUCACCUUUGCCUCAGAGCCCAAAGUCCUCAUGUCUGUCCUGAACGUCAACUCCCGGGAUAUAACUGAGGUGAUCAGCAGCCUGGAAAAUGCCAACUACAAAGAUCAUGAAAAUGGAACUGGGACUAACACCUAUGCAGCCCUAAACAGUGUCUAUCUCAUGAUGAACAAUCAAAUGCGACUCCUUGGCAUGGAAACGAUGGCCUGGCAGGAAAUCCGGCAUGCCAUCAUCCUUCUGACAGACGGAAAGUCCAAUAUGGGUGGCUCUCCCAAAACAGCUGUUGACCAAAUCAGAGAGAUCCUGAAUAUCAACCAGAAGAGGAAUGACUAUCUGGACAUCUAUGCCAUUGGGGUGGGCAAGCUGGAUGUGGACUGGAGAGAACUGAAUGAGCUGGGGUCCAAGAAGGAUGGUGAGAGGCAUGCCUUCAUUCUGCAGGACACAAAGGCUCUGCACCAGGUCUUUGAACAUAUGCUGGAUGUCUCCAAGCUCACAGACACCAUCUGCGGGGUGGGGAACAUGUCAGCAAACGCCUCUGACCAAGAGAGGACACCCUGGCAUGUCACUAUUAAGCCCAAGAGCCAAGAGACCUGCCGGGGGGCCCUCAUCUCCGACCAAUGGGUCCUGACAGCAGCUCACUGCUUCCGCGAUGGCAAGGACCACUCCCUCUGGAGGGUCAACGUGGGAGACCCCAAAUCCCAGUGGGGCAAAGAAUUCCUUAUUGAGAAGGCGGUGAUUUCCCCAGGAUUUGAUGUCUUUGCCAAAAAGAACCAGGGAAUCCUGGAGUUCUAUGGUGAUGACAUCGCCCUGCUGAAGCUGGCCCAAAAAGUAAAGAUGUCCACCCAUGCCAGGCCCAUCUGCCUUCCCUGCACCAUGGAGGCCAAUCUGGCUCUGCGGAGACCUCAAGGCAGCACCUGUAGGGACCAUGAGAAUGAACUGCUGAACAAACAGAGUGUUCCUGCUCAUUUUGUCGCCUUGAAUGGGAGUAAACUGAACAUUAACCUUAAGAUGGGAUUGGAGUGGACAAGCUGUGCUGAGGUCGUCUCCCAAGAAAAAACUAUGUUCCCCAACUUGACAGAUGUCAGGGAGGUGGUGACAGACCAGUUUCUAUGCAGUGGGACCCAGGAGGAUGAGAGUCCCUGCAAGGGAGAAUCUGGGGGAGCAGUUUUCCUUGAGCGGAGAUUCAGGUUUUUUCAGGCCCAGCUUCUCUCCUGCCUUCUAACGCCAUGGGGAGCAAUCUCAGCCCCCAGCUCUGCCUGAUGCCCUUCAUCUUGGGCCUCUUGUCUGGAGGUGUGACCACCACUCCAUUGUCUUUGGCCCGGCCUCAAGGAUCCUGCUCUCUGGAGGGGGUAGAGAUCAAAGGUGGCUCCUUCCAACUUCUCCAAGAGGGCCAGGCACUGGAGUACGUGUGUCCUUCUGGCUUCUACCCGUACCCCGUGCAGACACGUACCUGCAGAUCCACGGGGUCCUGGAGCACCAUGCAGACUCAAGAUCAAAAGACUGUCAAGAAGGCAGAGUGCAGAGCAAUCCACUGUCCAAGACCACAGGACUUCGAGAACGGGGAAUACAGGCCCCGGUCUCCCUACUACAAUGUGAGUGAUGAGAUCUCUUUCCACUGCUAUGACGGUUACACUCUCCGGGGCUCUGCCAAUCGCACCUGCCAAGUGAAUGGCCGGUGGAGUGGGCAGACAGCGAUCUGUGACAACGGAGCGGGGUACUGCUCCAACCCAGGCAUCCCCAUUGGCACAAGGAAGGUGGGCAGCCGGUACCGCCUUGAAGACAGCGUCACCUACCACUGCAGCCGGGGGCUUACCCUGCGUGGCUCCCAGCGGCGAACGUGUCAGGAAGGUGGCUCUUGGAGCGGGACGGAGCCUUCCUGCCAAGACUCCUUCACGUACGACACCCCUCAAGAGGUGGCCGAAGCUUUCCUGUCUUCCCUGACGGAGACCAUAGAAGGAGUUGAUGCCGAGGAUGGGCACAGCCCAGGGGAACAACAGAAGCGGAAGAUCGUCCUAGACCCUUCAGGCUCCAUGAACAUCUACCUGGUGCUAGAUGGAUCAGACAGCAUUGGGGCCAGCAACUUCACAGGAGCCAAAAAGUGUCUAGUCAACUUAAUUGAGAAGGUGG